UGGAAUGACAUUUUCGAUAUUGGGGUGGCGUGAAAAUGCAUAUAGGUGGACACCAAAAUAAAAACCUUUUUUUUUGUUGUCUCAACGCUUGACCCAUCAAAUACCCCAACAACCCUCUUUGGGCUCGUAAAGAUUGCGGCAAAAAACAUAAAGUUUCUCUUUCACACGCCGAAAACAAAACAGAGAUCCCCUCCAUCAGAAUCAAAUUUCAGCUCCGACCACCGAACUGCCACUAUUUGAUGACAAAGUAACUGUUUUGGAGUCAGAAAACCGUGCAUGGGAGAAUUCCCCCGAAGCUCAGGCAAUGAGAAAAGCUCUCAACCCUUGGAAACAUAUUGAUGCAGAAGGAACAAAGAAGUCCUGACUUGAGUAUGAACUAUUUUCUUAAAAUCCAUGAGUGAUCUGUUAAGAUGUUAAAUGAGAAUAUGUUGGGUUUAGGUAUUAGCUAUCAUGGAACUGGUAGUGCCCACCCAACUUCAGUUGUUGUAUGUUGUCUGGCAGCCUACUAAAACAUUAAAAUAGAAGUAAAAA